rnacentral:rRNA from 1 species
AUUGAACGCUGGCGGAAUGCUUUACACAUGCAAGUCGAACGGCAGCACGGGGCAACCUGGUGGCGAGUGGCGAACGGGUGAGUAAUGUAUCGGAACGUACCAUUCAGUGGGGGAUAACUAUCCGAAAGGAUAGCUAAUACCGCAUAUUCUGUGAGCAGGAAAGCAGGGGAUAGCAAGACCUUGCGCUGAUUGAGCGGCGGAUAUCAGAUUAGCGAGUUGGUGAGGUAACGGCUCACCAAGGCUACGAUCUGUAGCGGGUCUGAGAGGAUGAUCCGCCACACUGGGACUGAGAUACGGCUCAGACUCCUACGGGAGGCAGCAGUGGGGAAUUUUGGACAAUGGGCGCAAGCCUGAUCCAGCCAUGCCGCGUGAGUGAAGAAGGCCUUCGGGUUGUAAAGCUCUUUCGGCCGGGAAGAAAUCGCAUCAGCUAAUACCUGGUGUGGAUGACGGUACCGGAAUAAGAAGCACCGGCUAACUACGUGCCAGCAGCCGCGGUAACAC